CUAACUCUGGAGAGCCUGUGUUCGAAUGUCCCCAUAUUGCUGUUCCACAGAACUGAACAGUGUUAACUUUCUAUUGUGUGGUAUAUUCAUCCCAAACCCUCCCGUGAGCAAUGUUCAAUAAUAAUUAAUAUUUAUUCAUUUCUUAACUGGUCAGAAUGAAGAAUGCUGAAACUUUUGACACCGUAAUGUUGUUAUGUUGCAGACAUCAAGUGACAGGUACCUGACUGAACCCUCUGGAAACCAAGAAUGGAGUGAGAGAUCCACUUCAUCCUUACAACAGGUUACUACGUCUUAUCAUGAUAUACUAGGUUUGAGUUUUCAGCUUUCUUUGACAAACACAGGAGAAGUUAUAAAUCAGAAACAUGGACUCUCCAUGAUUUCAGUCGUCAUGUCCUCAUAUUUCUUUAGACCUGAAAAACCUGAGUGUGUUUCAGGUGACAUGACUUUUGUCUUAACCUAACUCUGGAGAGCCUGUGUUCGAAUGUCCCCAUAUUGCUGUUCCACAGAACUGAACAGUGUUAACUUUCUAUUGUGUGGUAUAUUCAUCCCAAACCCUCCCGUGAGCAAUGUUCAAUAAUAAUUAAUAUUUAUUCAUUUCUUAACUGGUCAGAAUGAAGAAUGCUGAAACUUUUGACACCGUAAUGUUGUUAUGUUGCAGACAUCAAGUGACAGGUACCUGACUGAACCCUCUGGAAACCAAGAAUGGAGUGAGAGAUCCACUUCAUCCUUACAACAGGUUACUACGUCUUAUCAUGAUAUACUAGGUUUGAGUUUUCAGCUUUCUUUGACAAACACAGGAGAAGUUAUAAAUCAGAAACAUGGACUCUCCAUGAUUUCAGUCGUCAUGUCCUCAUAUUUCUUUAGACCUGAAAAACCUGAGUGUGUUUCAGGUGACAUGACUUUUGUCUUAACCUAACUCUGGAGAGCCUGUGUUCGAAUGUCCCCAUAUUGCUGUUCCACAGAACUGAACAGUGUUAACUUUCUAUUGUGUGGUAUAUUCAUCCCAAACCCUCCCGUGAGCAAUGUUCAAUAAUAAUUAAU